GUGGUCGAGGAGCGUUGCGAUCUCUGUGGAGACUAGGCUCGACAUAGCCCGGAAGGGUUGGCAACGGCGCUCGUGAGCA
rnacentral:ncRNA from 2 species